rnacentral:tRNA from 1 species
GCCUGGCUGGCUCAAUUGGUGGAGCAUGUGUCUCUUGAUCUCGGGGUCAUGAAUUCAAGCCCCAUGCUGGGUA